rnacentral:lncRNA from 1 species
AAACAUCACUGCGCUUCCGUCGCACAGAGCCUGACGAAGGCUUGGGCUCCCCGCGCGGUGACCGUCGAGGUGACCUGCACCUGGCUCCAUGGCGGAACCGGCCGGCACGGAUUAUUCCCCUCUCGGGAGAGGUCUGCAGCCGGGCCUCAGUGCUUCAGUUCGUGGCCUGGCAUUUUGUGAAGAGUGUCUUCAUCUCUGCAUCCCUAGUGCAACAGAGCAUGACAAAAAUUCAACAAAUAUUUAUUGAAGAGUCUUGAUGUCUUUUGGGAAAGGAACUCUAUGGUUACCUUUACUCUAAGUUAAAAACAACAACAACAACAACAAAAACACAAAACCCUGAGGCUCAGAAGAUAAAUAUUUGCUGAAGAUCACUGUGCUUAUUAGAUGGGUGUUACUGAUUCUUACCUCAGAGAAGAGAAUGUCAUGGAGACAAAAUGACCUGCUUAGAGUUCUGCACCCCCCAGCAUGGAGAGCAGAGCGCAAAGAUUUCUUCCGGACUCCCACAUUCCCCUUGGAAUCCAAGAACUGGUCUACUGUCACAACACUUUAGUACCCUCUUGUAAGCCUGUGGACAAAUCCUCUGAUGCCUUGAUACCUCGGUUUUCCCCCACUAUAAAUGGGAAGAUAAAUUCACUAGAAACAGUA